rnacentral:rRNA from 1 species
UACGUAGGGACCGAGCGUUGUCCGGAAUUAUUGGGCGUAAAGAGCUCGUAGGCGGUUUGUCGCGUCUGCCGUGAAAGUCCGGGGCUCAACUCCGGAUCUGCGGUGGGUACGGGCAGACUAGAGUGAUGUAGGGGAGACUGGAAUUCCUGGUGUAGCGGUGAAAUGCGCAGAUAUCAGGAGGAACACCGAUGGCGAAGGCAGGUCUCUGGGCAUUAACUGACGCUGAGGAGCGAAAGCAUGGGGAGCGAACAGG